rnacentral:snoRNA from 1 species
UUGAUGAAAGAAUCGGUCAAUCCUUUUAGUGUAAUCACUGAUGUCUCCAUGUGUCAGAGCAA